CUGCCAAAAAUCCAUCAGACGAAGAAGAAUUAAAAAGACGACGAAGAAGAACAUAAAGAAGGAAAUUCAGGGAUCCGCGAGUGACAAAGAACACGAAGAAAACGCGAUGCGGAAGAGUAAAAGUAGGAUCAGCGACAUGAUGAUGGAGGCCACACUUCACCUCGGAGAUUAGCUUUCAACCGCCCUAAGUGUUAUUGCAGCUUAUUACUAGUUUAUAGCGGUUGAGGUGGUUUUCUUUCUGUAGGCCCAGGCUUGCAACUUCAUCCAGUAACCACUCACAGUUAUUUCAGGACCUAUUAAUGGGUCCAGGUAAAGGGAUAAGAAAGAGUAACAAACACACAACAGAAGUGAAUAGAACCUUUGUGCAAAAUCACUUAAAUAUCCAAUUAUUUCAAACUGUAUCCCCUUACAGUAGUUUCACUACUUUCUAAGAUGAUCAAUGGAAUAUUUGCUGUCCUGUUGUUUAAAAAGUAACAGUUUAGAUGUACAAUGUUAGAACCACAGGGGCCACUAUAGGAACUCAGUGCAACUAAAGCCAUUGCUGAGUUUCAAAUCCUUCAGUUUUUUCCUACUUUGUAUGUCGACUUCUAUUUUGACGACAGACUCAAUCCAGCUCACCACCGGGGAUACCACUGUUGCACCAGCUUCUGAAGAUAUGUUGAACUCAGGCAAUAUACUUGGCGAGGUCGUUUCCUCUUGCGUAAUUUGGCAGCCUGCUUUUAAUUAUUAUCAUGCUGGAAUAUUCCUUUUCUGUCAAGCGUCUGCAGAUUGGGAGUCAUGUCUGUGCAGAUUCCCAGUCGUGAUGGUAAUCCUGGGAUCUUCAGCAAAAAUCAACUGGACUUGUUUUGUAGGUUUCACCUCUCAUCCAAGACGCUUCUUUGGUUCUAACUAACUGAUGGGGAGUUUCAGAGUUUUAUAUUCACUCCAGCUCACAUGGCAAACGAACUGUUAUGAUUCAGGACUCACAUGACACAAGACGUGUUCACCAACAACGAUAGGAAUCAUGGUGGUGGAGCUGACAGUUUACACAACCAAGGAUAUGAAUCUGCCAAGUCAGGACUGACUCAAGAUGUUAACGAUGGUGAAACUUUCUGGGGAGAAACUUUUUUCCUCAAUGGAUUGUCCUUUUUCCUUCAGAUGUAGAUGAACUGCUGAGUCUUGUCGUGAGGAGCUGCUUUCCUGUGUUGAGCCAUACGCGUGUGAAUCUGUUGUUUAGUCUCUCCUAUGUACAAGUCUGUGAACUCUUCGCUGCAUUGGACUGCACAUACAACGUUGCUCCGCUUGUAUGUUGGAGUUUGGACCUUGGGGUGAACCAGUUUCCCCGAAUAUCCGGAACCCAGAAACUGCUAUUCGGGCCACCCCUACCUGUUGCGCGUCCAUCGCUCAGCACUCAUGAGUUAAGUAACGUAAAGCAUGUCGCAAACCCGCUUGAGAAUCAAAGAACGUAAAGCAGCGUCAUGUCGCAAAAACCACAAGACGGAGUUUCUUUGCGAAAAAUCUCUUUUUUAUUCUUUAUUUUCACGUAUAUAAACUUAGAGUAUCCAUAGUGACAAUAAAACACUAAUACAAUCGUCGCAGGCUAUUUAAUGAUAAAUUUGCUGUAAUAAUUGAUAAAAUUAGGUUAGAAACGAUAGAAGAGAAAUGGCACGAUGGACACUUUUCUAUCGUUCUCACGAUAUGUAUCGUCAUAUUGCCCAGCACUAGCGUGCAAGACAAAUACAACCACAAAAGGUUCAUGCACCAAGUUUAUAACAGCAUACAGUAAAAAAUAUUGUUGUGCAUGUAUGAUAUGUUAAACGAUUUCAUGAAAGGUUAGAAAAAUGGCACAACAGUGCACAGCUUGUAUGACACUACUGUAAAUCUGCAAAACUCAAUAUAAUGAUCGUGAUUUACUGAAUUAGUUUAAAUUUUCUUCUGUUUCUGUCAAAAAAUCGAACACUAAAAAUUUAUUGUGCAUUGCAUUACAAGAAAUUGCUCUGUCUUGUAAUCAAAUUUG
ensembl:lncRNA